AGAGUUUGCUUCUGGCUCAGGACGAACGCUGGCGGCGUGCUUAACACAUGCAAGUCGAACGGAAAGGCCUCUUCCUUGUGGUGGGGGUACUCGAGUGGCGAACGGGUGAGUAACACGUGGGUGAUCUGCCGUGCACUUUGGGAUAAGCCUGGGAAACUGGGUCUAAUACCGGAUAGGACCAUGCUCUAGGGGUGUGGUGGAAAGAUGUUUUUCGGUGCAUGAUGAGCCCGCGGCCUAUCAGCUUGUUGGUGGGGUAAUGGCCUACCAAGGCGGCGACGGGUAGCCGGCCUGAGAGGGUGGACGGCCACAUUGGGACUGAGACACGGCCCAGACUCCUACGGGAGGCAGCAGUGGGGAAUAUUGCACAAUGGGCGCAAGCCUGAUGCAGCGACGCCGCGUGGGGGAUGGACGGCCUUCGGGUUGUAAACCCCUUUCGUCAGGGACGAAGCCAUCCUUUGGGUGGUGACGGUACCUGGAUAAGAAGCACCGGCUAACUACGUGCCAGCAGCCGCGGUAAUACGUAGGGUGCGAGCGUUGUCCGGAUUACUGGGCGUAAAGAGCUCGUAGGUGGUGUGUCGCGUCGUCUGUGAAAUUCCGGGGCUUAACUCCGGGCGUGCAGGCGAUACGGGCAUUACUGGAGUGCUGUAGGGGUAACUGGAAUUCCUGGUGUAGCGGUGAAAUGCGCAGAUAUCAGGAGGAACACCGAUGGCGAAGGCAGGUUACUGGGCAGUUACUGACGCUGAGGAGCGAAAGCAUGGGUAGCGAACAGGAUUAGAUACCCUGGUAGUCCAUGCUGUAAACGGUGGGCGCU
rnacentral:rRNA from 1 species